ACUGUGUGCUGAUUGUCACGUUCUGAUU
rnacentral:piRNA from 2 species